rnacentral:rRNA from 1 species
UGAAACCCAAGAUUAGAUACCCUGUUAUACUUAACAGAAAUUUGAUUAUACUUGAGUAGUAAUCAGUUAUGGUCUUGAAACUUAAAGAAUUUGGCGGUAUUUUAGUCUAGUUAGAGGAACCUGUUCUAUCAACGAUAAACCGCGAAUUAUCUUACUCUUUUUAGUAGAAUCAGUUUGUAUACCGUCAUUAUUAGAUAAUCUUUAUAAAGAAUUAUUAGAAUAAAUAGUUUUGAUAUAUUAGAUCAAGGUGCAGCUUAUAGAAGAGAAAGUAAUGGGUUACAAUAAUAUAAAUUUAUUACGGAGUUAAAAUGUAAGUAUUUUAAUAAAGGUGGAUUUAAUAGUAGUUUUAUUUUAAUAUGGUAAAAUGAUAAAAGCUCUAGAAUAUGUACAUAUCGCCCGUCGCUA